rnacentral:rRNA from 1 species
GGGCGUUAAGUUGCAGGGUAUAGACCCGAAACCCGGUGAUCUAGCCAUGGGCAGGUUGAAGGUUGGGUAACACUAACUGGAGGACCGAACCGACUAAUGUUGAAAAAUUAGCGGAUGACCUGUGGCUGGGGGUGAAAGGCCAAUCAAACCGGGAGAUAGCUGGUUCUCCCCGAAAGCUAUUUAGGUAGCGCCUCGUGAAUUCAUCUCCGGGGGUAGAGCACUGUUUCGGCUAGGGGGCCAUCCCGGCUUACCAACCCGAUGCAAACUGCGAAUACCGGAGAAUGUUAUCACGGGAGACACACGGCGGGUGCUAACGUCCGUCGUGAAGAGGGAAACAACCCAGACCGCCAGCUAAGGUCCCAAAGUCAUGGUUAAGUGGGAAACGAUGUGGGAAGGCCCAGACAGCCAGGAUGUUGGCUUAGAAGCAGCCAUCAUUUAAAGAAAGCGUAAUAGCUCACUGGUCGAGUCGGCCUGCGCGGAAGAUGUAACGGGGCUAAACCAUGCACCGAAGCUGCGGCAGCGACGCUUAUGCGUUGUUGGGUAGGGGAGCGUUCUGUAAGCCUGCGAAGGUGUGCUGUGAGGCAUGCUGGAGGUAUCAGAAGUGCGAAUGCUGACAUAAGUAACGAUAAAGCGGGUGAAAAGCCCGCUCGCCGGAAGACCAAGGGUUCCUGUCCAACGUUAAUCGGGGCAGGGUGAGUCGACCCCUAAGGCGAGGCCGAAAGGCGUAGUCGAUGGGAAACAGGUUAAUAUUCCUGUACUUGGUGUUACUGCGAAGGGGGGACGGAGAAGGCUAUGUCGGCCGGGCGACGGUUGUCCCGGUUUAAGCGUGUAGGCUGACUUUCCAGGCAAAUCCGGAGAGUUAAGGCUGAGGCGUGAUGACGAGGCACCACGGUGCUGAAGUGACAAAUGCCCUGCUUCCAGGAAAAGCCUCUAAGCAUCAGGUAACAUCAAAUCGUACCCCAAACCGACACAGGUGGUCAGGUAGAGAAUACCAAGGCGCUUGAGAGAACUCGGGUGAAGGAACUAGGCAAAAUGGUGCCGUAACUUCGGGAGAAGGCACGCUGACAUGUAGGUGAAGCCCCUGCGGGUGGAGCUGAAGUCAGUCGAAGAUACCAGCUGGCUGCAACUGUUUAUUAAAAACACAGCACUGUGCAAACACGAAAGUGGACGUAUACGGUGUGACGCCUGCCCGGUGCCGGAAGGUUAAUUGAUGGGGUUAUCGCAAGAGAAGCUCCUGAUCGAAGCCCCGGUAAACGGCGGCCGUAACUAUAACGGUCCUAAGGUAGCGAAAUUCCUUGUCGGGUAAGUUCCGACCUGCACGAAUGGCGUAAUGAUGGCCAGGCUGUCUCCACCCGAGACUCAGUGAAAUUGAACUCGCUGUGAAGAUGCAGUGUACCCGCGGCAAGACGGAAAGACCCCGUGAACCUUUACUACAGCUUGACACUGAACAUUGAGCCUUGAUGUGUAGGAUAGGUGGGAGGCUUUGAAGCGUGGACGCCAGUCUGCGUGGAGCCAACCUUGAAAUACCACCCUUUAAUGUUUGAUGUUCUAACCUGGCGCCAUAAUCUGGCGUGGGGACAGUGUCUGGUGGGUAGUUUGACUGGGGCGGUCUCCUCCCAAAGUGUAACGGAGGAGCACGAAGGUCAGCUAAUCCUGGUCGGACAUCAGGAGGUUAGUGCAAUGGCAUAAGCUGGCUUGACUGCGAGAGUGACGGCUCGAGCAGGUGCGAAAGCAGGUCAUAGUGAUCCGGUGGUUCUGUAUGGAAGGGCCAUCGCUCAACGGAUAAAAGGUACUCCGGGGAUAACAGGCUGAUACCGCCCAAGAGUUCAUAUCGACGGCGGUGUUUGGCACCUCGAUGUCGGCUCAUCACAUCCUGGGGCUGAAGUAGGUCCCAAGGGUAUGGCUGUUCGCCAUUUAAAGUGGUACGCGAGCUGGGUUUAGAACGUCGUGAGACAGUUCGGUCCCUAUCUGCCGUGGGCGCUGGAGAAUUGAGGGGGGCUGCUCCCAGUACGAGAGGACCGGAGUGGACGCAUCACUGGUGUUCGGGUUGUCAUGCCAAUGGCACUGCCCGGUAGCUAAAUGCGGAAGAGAUAAGUGCUGAAAGCAUCUAAGCACGAAACUUGCCCCAAGAUGAGUUCUCCCUGAGACUGUAAGUCUCCUGAAGGAACGUUGAAGACGACGACGUUGAUAGGCCGGGUGUGUAAGCGCAGCGAUGCGUUGAGCUAACCGGUACUAAUGAACCGUGAGGCUUAACCUU